GCCAGGUGCAGUGGUGCACACCUGUAAUCCCAGUGGCUCAGGAGGCUGAGGCAGGAGGAUCACAAGUUCAAAACCAGCCUCAG
rnacentral:sRNA from 1 species